rnacentral:rRNA from 1 species
CACGUAGGGGGCGAGCGUUGUCCGGAUUUAUUGGGCGUAAAGAGCUCGUAGGCGGUUUCGUAAGUCGGAUGUGAAAACUCCAGGCUCAACUUGGAGACGCCAUUCGAUACUGCGAUGACUUGAGUCCGGUAGGGGAGUGUGGAAUUCCUGGUGUAGCGGUGAAAUGCGUAGAUAUCAGGAGGAAUACCGGUGGCGAAAGCGACUCUCUGGACGGCAACUGACGCUGAGGCACGAAAGCGUGGGGAGCAAACAGG